rnacentral:sRNA from 1 species
UGCAUCUGCAGCUCAUGAGGAUGAGGACCUCCGGGGGCAGGGAGGUUCGACUCGAGCGAAGCGAGAGAACGUUGCGCCAGCAACGGCCCGCAGGGCGAGCCACGAAGUGGCGAGUAAUCCUCUAUCACCGACCA